AGAAACAAAACAACCAUGGACCCUGAACUGAUCCAGCACGUGAAAUCCAUCUAGAGUCUAUAAGACAGAACUCCUGGACAUUUUUUUAUGUGGCCUAUGUACUUUAUUCAGAUUUCCAAGCAUGUUCAGAGACUGUGCUGAGAUCCAGUGUAAGAUUUUGAAAAAGGAUGCACCAGGGCUAGAAAAUGAGCCAGAGCCUGCCUGUCAGCCCUACACAAGGAGGAGCAAGGAGUUAUCAGUGUAUCCACACAAACAGAUCUCAACACAUCUAAAACAAGGAAGAUGGGAGCCCUGUGCUGAGGCAGCUGAUGAAGACAUGACAGGCAUCAGCACUGCAUAUCUGAAUCUGGCCCCAACCUGCUGGGACAAAAUUGCUUGGCCAGGAGAAAGAUGGAGUGGAAAUGUGGUGGGAAGACGUGUCAAUAAGGAGUAACAGGAAACAAUAAAUGACCUGGUGCACGAGGCUAGCCAUUUCUGAACUACAUCUCCAAAAGGAAAAAAAUCCUAUCUGAAGAGAACUACAACUUACUGGACAGGAACAUGUGAGUUCAGGGAACCAGGUGUAACUACUGUGUUGUGUUUUCUGCCCAUUUUUACAUGUCAGAGAGCUCCUCUUUAAAUAAAUUUACAAACCAAGAGGUUGUGUUUCUACCU
rnacentral:lncRNA from 1 species